rnacentral:rRNA from 1 species
GACGAACGCUGGCGGCGUGCUUAACACAUGCAAGUCGAACGGUGAAGCGCCUUCCUUUUUGGUGGGUGUGGAUGAGUGGCGAACGGGUGAGUAACACGUGAGUAACCUGCCCCCUUCUUCUGGAUAACCGCAUGAAAGUGUGGCUAAUACGGGAUAUUCUGGGUCUGUCGCAUGAUGGGUCUGGGAAAGAUAUUGUUUCGGUGGGGGAUGGGCUCGCGGCCUAUCAGCUUGUUGGUGGGGUGAUGGCCUACCAAGGCGGUUACGGGUAGCCGGCCUGAGAGGGUGGACGGUCACACUGGGACUGAGACACGGCCCAGACUCCUACGGGAGGCAGCAGUGGGGAAUAUUGCACAAUGGGCGCAAGCCUGAUGCAGCGACGCCGCGUGAGGGAUGGAGGCCUUCGGGUUGUGAACCUCUUUCGCCAGUGAAGCAGGCCUGCCUCGUUUGUGGGUGGGUUGACGGUAGCUGGAUAAGAAGCGCCGGCUAACUACGUG